AUUGAGCGCUGGCGGCAGGCUUAACACAUGCAAGUCGAGCGGAGAUGAGGUGCUUGCACCUUAUCUUAGCGGCGGACGGGUGAGUAAUGCUUAGGAAUCUGCCUAUUAGUGGGGGACAACAUUCCGAAAGGAAUGCUAAUACCGCAUACGUCCUACGGGAGAAAGCAGGGGAUCUUCGGACCUUGCGCUAAUAGAUGAGCCUAAGUCGGAUUAGCUAGUUGGUGGGGUAAAGGCCUACCAAGGCGACGAUCUGUAGCGGGUCUGAGAGGAUGAUCCGCCACACUGGGACUGAGACACGGCCCAGACUCCUACGGGAGGCAGCAGUGGGGAAUAUUGGACAAUGGGGGGAACCCUGAUCCAGCCAUGCCGCGUGUGUGAAGAAGGCCUUAUGGUUGUAAAGCACUUUAAGCGAGGAGGAGGCUACUGAGACUAAUACUCUUGGGUAGUGGACGUUACUCGCAGAAUAAGCACCGGCUAACUCUGUGCCAGCCGCCGCCGUAAUAC
rnacentral:rRNA from 1 species